CAACCUUUUUUGUGAUGACCCAAAGGGGCGUAGCAUAGCACAAAGGCAACACAGUCAGAUAAUCAAUAAAGAUCCCUUUAAUACCUCCAACUUUGCCCCCAAUGUCCAGGUUACCUUCAGGCUGGAGAGAAAAAAACUCUCCCAGGAACAGCC